CCUGCCCCUAGGCCUUGCAGGUGUGGCUAUUGUGUCACAUGGGGGUCAUUCAGUGGCAGAGAGGAGAGAGGCCAUGUCUAUGCUCAAUGUUCUGACCUGUUCGUAUGUUUCAUAUGAAAAGGUAAGCCUGAGAUG